AUGGCCUUACGCGCCCUACAGCUCAGCCAGCCCGGGGUGGCGGCCGCGCGGAGCCGGGUGAUGCCGACGAGGAGCUUGUCGGCAAGGGUGCCGACGGGGGAGAAGAUCGAGGAGAGGGAUCGGAUGGGGAAGCGGAACGGGUUGGAGAGCAUGUGGAACAGCGUACAGCGACCCGCCCUCGCCGGCGCCGAUGUAUACGAGCGUGCCGGGGAAGAACGGCUGGAGGCGCAGCGCCUGGAAGUCGAGGAGGCGCUGGCACUCCGGGUACGCCGUGAGGAAGAUCUGGAAGCCCCGGUCGAGCAGGUACCCGUCGACCUCGUCGGUGGCUACGCGGCCGCCGAGGCGGUCCGAGGCCUCCAGCAGCGUGAACGGCAUGAAGAGGGAGGCCAGGUGGGUGGCCGCCGCGAGGCCCGCGAGCCCGCCGCCGACGAUGACGGCCUGCUUGUCGGCCUGGUUCACGUUCACCGAUGUCGCCGCGGCGGAGACGGCGAACCGGAGGGUGGCAUGGCGGCGGGGGGUGGGAUGCGCGGGGACGAGGAGGUGGGCGGCGUGGACACGCAUUGGGGUUGCGGGUGCGGCGAGUGGCGGGAAGAGACCGGGCAGAAACGGGGAAUCGUGACGGGGUACGGUUUGGGAGGUGUAGGCGGUUGUCCAUGGAGUUGUGCUGAUGUUCUGCAUGCGGCUAGUGAUCCCUGGAAGGAAGUGUUGGACAAUGUUUGGGAGUUCGGCCCAGUUCUUUUGGGCAAUUCUUCCAUAAUCUUGAAAAUUCACCUUUCACCCAGCUUCUUCCAGAAUUUUGUAUCCAUAUUUUUUGUACAAUCCUAG
rnacentral:rRNA from 1 species